GGGUUGUGAGGUUAAGCGACUAAGCGUACACGGUGGAUGCCCUGGCAGUCAGAGGCGAUGAAGGACGUGCUAAUCUGCGAUAAGCGUCGGUAAGGUGAUAUGAACCGUUAUAACCGGCGAUUUCCGAAUGGGGAAACCCAGUGUGUUUCGACACACUAUCAUUAACUGAAUCCAUAGGUUAAUGAGGCGAACCGGGGGAACUGAAACAUCUAAGUACCCCGAGGAAAAGAAAUCAACCGAGAUUCCCCCAGUAGCGGCGAGCGAACGGGGAGGAGCCCAGAGCCUGAAUCAGUGUGUGUGUUAGUGGAAGCGUCUGGAAAGGCGCGCGAUACAGGGUGACAGCCCCGUACACAAAAAUGCACAUGCUGUGAGCUCGAUGAGUAGGGCGGGACACGUGGUAUCCUGUCUGAAUAUGGGGGGACCAUCCUCCAAGGCUAAAUACUCCUGACUGACCGAUAGUGAACCAGUACCGUGAGGGAAAGGCGAAAAGAACCCCGGCGAGGGGAGUGAAAAAGAACCUGAAACCGUGUACGUACAAGCAGUGGGAGCACAGAGCAAUCUGUGUGACUGCGUACCUUUUGUAUAAUGGGUCAGCGACUUAUAUUCUGUAGCAAGGUUAACCGAAUAGGGGAGCCGAAGGGAAACCGAGUCUUAACUGGGCGUUAAGUUGCAGGGUAUAGACCCGAAACCCGGUGAUCUAGCCAUGGGCAGGUUGAAGGUUGGGUAACACUAACUGGAGGACCGAACCGACUAAUGUUGAAAAAUUAGCGGAUGACUUGUGGCUGGGGGUGAAAGGCCAAUCAAACCGGGAGAUAGCUGGUUCUCCCCGAAAGCUAUUUAGGUAGCGCCUCGUGAAUUCAUCUCCGGGGGUAGAGCACUGUUUCGGCAAGGGGGUCAUCCCGACUUACCAACCCGAUGCAAACUGCGAAUACCGGAGAAUGUUAUCACGGGAGACACACGGCGGGUGCUAACGUCCGUCGUGAAGAGGGAAACAACCCAGACCGCCAGCUAAGGUCCCAAAGUCAUGGUUAAGUGGGAAACGAUGUGGGAAGGCCCAGACAGCCAGGAUGUUGGCUUAGAAGCAGCCAUCAUUUAAAGAAAGCGUAAUAGCUCACUGGUCGAGUCGGCCUGCGCGGAAGAUGUAACGGGGCUAAACCAUGCACCGAAGCUGCGGCAGCGACACUGUGUGUUGUUGGGUAGGGGAGCGUUCUGUAAGCCUGUGAAGGUGUGCUGUGAGGUAUGCUGGAGGUAUCAGAAGUGCGAAUGCUGACAUAAGUAACGAUAAAGCGGGUGAAAAGCCCGCUCGCCGGAAGACCAAGGGUUCCUGUCCAACGUUAAUCGGGGCAGGGUGAGUCGACCCCUAAGGCGAGGCCGAAAGGCGUAGUCGAUGGGAAACAGGUUAAUAUUCCUGUACUUGGUGUUACUGCGAAGGGGGGACGGAGAAGGCUAUGUUGGCCGGGCGACGGUUGUCCCGGUUUAAGCGUGUAGGCUGGUUUUCCAGGCAAAUCCGGAAAAUCAAGGCUGAGGCGUGAUGACGAGGCACUACGGUGCUGAAGCAACAAAUGCCCUGCUUCCAGGAAAAGCCUCUAAGCAUCAGGUAACAUCAAAUCGUACCCCAAACCGACACAGGUGGUCAGGUAGAGAAUACCAAGGCGCUUGAGAGAACUCGGGUGAAGGAACUAGGCAAAAUGGUGCCGUAACUUCGGGAGAAGGCACGCUGAUAUGUAGGUGAAGUCCCUCGCGGAUGGAGCUGAAAUCAGUCGAAGAUACCAGCUGGCUGCAACUGUUUAUUAAAAACACAGCACUGUGCAAACACGAAAGUGGACGUAUACGGUGUGACGCCUGCCCGGUGCCGGAAGGUUAAUUGAUGGGGUUAGCGCAAGCGAAGCUCUUGAUCGAAGCCCCGGUAAACGGCGGCCGUAACUAUAACGGUCCUAAGGUAGCGAAAUUCCUUGUCGGGUAAGUUCCGACCUGCACGAAUGGCGUAAUGAUGGCCAGGCUGUCUCCACCCGAGACUCAGUGAAAUUGAACUCGCUGUGAAGAUGCAGUGUACCCGCGGCAAGACGGAAAGACCCCGUGAACCUUUACUAUAGCUUGACACUGAACAUUGAGCCUUGAUGUGUAGGAUAGGUGGGAGGCUUUGAAGUGUGGACGCCAGUCUGCAUGGAGCCGACCUUGAAAUACCACCCUUUAAUGUUUGAUGUUCUAACGUGGACCCGUGAUCCGGGUUGCGGACAGUGUCUGGUGGGUAGUUUGACUGGGGCGGUCUCCUCCUAAAGAGUAACGGAGGAGCACGAAGGUUGGCUAAUCCUGGUCGGACAUCAGGAGGUUAGUGCAAUGGCAUAAGCCAGCUUGACUGCGAGCGUGACGGCGCGAGCAGGUGCGAAAGCAGGUCAUAGUGAUCCGGUGGUUCUGAAUGGAAGGGCCAUCGCUCAACGGAUAAAAGGUACUCCGGGGAUAACAGGCUGAUACCGCCCAAGAGUUCAUAUCGACGGCGGUGUUUGGCACCUCGAUGUCGGCUCAUCACAUCCUGGGGCUGAAGUAGGUCCCAAGGGUAUGGCUGUUCGCCAUUUAAAGUGGUACGCGAGCUGGGUUUAGAACGUCGUGAGACAGUUCGGUCCCUAUCUGCCGUGGGCGCUGGAGAACUGAGGGGGGCUGCUCCUAGUACGAGAGGACCGGAGUGGACGCAUCACUGGUGUUCGGGUUGUCAUGCCAAUGGCACUGCCCGGUAGCUAAAUGCGGAAGAGAUAAGUGCUGAAAGCAUCUAAGCACGAAACUUGCCCCGAGAUGAGUUCUCCCUGACCCUUUAAGGGUCCUGAAGGAACGUUGAAGACGACGACGUUGAUAGGCCGGGUGUGUAAGCGCAGCGAUGCGUUGAGCUAACCGGUACUAAUGAACCGUGAGGCUUAACCUUACAACGCCGAAGGUGUUU
rnacentral:rRNA from 2 species